rnacentral:rRNA from 1 species
GAUGAACGCUGGCGGCGUGCCUAAUACAUGCAAGUCGAGCGAACGGACGAGAAGCUUGCUUUUCUGAUGUUAGCGGCGGACGGGUGAGUAACACGUGGAUAACCUACCUAUAAGACUGGGAUAACUUCGGGAAACCGGAGCUAAUACCGGAUAAUAUUUUGAACCGCAUGGUUCAAAAGUGAAAGACGGUCUUGCUGUCACUUAUAGAUGGAUCCGCGCUGCAUUAGCUAGUUGGUAAGGUAACGGCUUACCAAGGCAACGAUGCAUAGCCGACCUGAGAGGGUGAUCGGCCACACUGGAACUGAGACACGGUCCAGACUCCUACGGGAGGCAGCAGUAGGGAAUCUUCCGCAGUGGGCGAAAGCCUGACGGAGCAACGCCGCGUGAGUGAUGAAGGUCUUCGGAUCGUAAAACUCUGUUAUUAGGGAAGAACAUAUGUGUAAGUAACUGUGCACAUCUUGACGGUACCUAACCAGAAAGCCACGGCUAACUACGUG